UGGACUCCCAACCGAAGUUCGCGGCCAGCAAGCCAGUUAGCAAGAUAGAAAUCACGGUGCCAAGUGCCGUCCCUAAAAAUUCUUUAACUUAACAUCCGACAGUAAAAUUUACUUUCGAUAUAUUCAAAAGUUCCAGACUUCGGAAGAAUCAUGAUGCGAGAUUCUGGAAUAUGUUACUGGAACUUUGCAAAUUCGUGGCAUUUUCUGUAAUCUACCUGCAUACACGAUCGAGGCGAUGAUGCUUCUUUCAUUCGGCGGCGCCCACUUGGCAACCAUCACGUGCAUAGCGGGAAACGAUACACCCUGUAAUUUAAGCGCUCGAAGUUAAGAAUUGCGUCGAAAUCAUGUCUAUUGAUAUAACAAGUAUCAAUUUACUAACACCGCCGAAUCCCUGAAGAAAUCUCAUAGCUAUGAAAAGCCAGUAGUGAAUACGCGCAGCGAUCGGCGUCAGGAUGCACGCAAUUAGAUUCAGUAGAACCGAUCCGUUCAUCAACCACUUGGCCGACCAGAGUUCUGCCAAUCUUCCACCCGGCAACAUGGACACCGUAUAGCCCCAAAAAUAGGAAGAUAGAAUGAGACCCUGGAUAAGUUCAUUCCACACGAAUGGACCGUCCUGAAAAAAUAUUGAUAGUUGACUAAAUUUUUUCUUUCCUCUUUUUUUUAUUGAAACGCAAAGAUUUUUCAGCUGGAACUACGAUGUGAGAAUUACAUGUGCAUGAAUCUUUUUUGCAAGUAAAAUAUCAUCGCACCUCGCUUUCAAUCAUGACGUUUGAGGUAUCGUCAAACUGGCAAAUAUUCGUGCUCGUUAGCGUGGUAUUGUCAGUUUUGGAGUCAUUCAACGUGGAUAAUUUGAUGUGCGAUUUAAGAGCUGUAUGAUUCACCAUAGCGACGAUAGCCACGCUGGCAUUGACUUUAAAGCCAUAAAGAAUGGCGAAUCCGAUCGAUCCCAUUACGGCCAUCAAGUACCGAAACGGAAGGAUUGUUUUCUUUCCUCCUGUGGCUAGAAAUAGUUAAUAUUAUAAUCAAUUGAUGUUUUUGUUGUAUAUUAUUGACAGAGAGAAGGCAAUUAUCUUUACUGUAAUUUUUUAGUUUUAUUUUGGAUAUUAUAAUUAGAUAUUUGCUAAAAUGUUUAAAUGCUAAAUGCUAAAUUUUAAAUUUUUUAAAUUUCUAUUUUAUUAUGAUCUUUUUGCAUUGAAAAUUAAGUUAAAUUAAAAUUUAAUUUUGUAAUUUAAUUAAUUUUGCGCAAGAAUUUUGAAAACAAGUCUUAAUUUAAUAAAUUUUUUAAAUAUUUGCAGACGGAAUGUCCUUUGAUUUUACGGAAUAUAUUUCUCGUCUUUCAUUUAACGCGAAAUCGAUUUCGUACGUCUGAAGGCACAUCCAGAGGAUUAUUUUAAGAACGAGAAUUUGCCACGCGCUGACAUGGGAUUAUGGCUGCGAAUCACAAUGUCAUCCUGACGCAACUCUGAAUUUCGAUGACAAUUGCAACAUUCUAUCUUCGUGCAAUUAAACUUAUUUUUGUCUUAUUAUUUUUAUUUAUAUUUAAAUUAUAUAUUAAAUUAUAUAUUAUUUAUUUUUAUUUAAAUUUACAU